AUGCUGACAAAGACACUUGUCCCAAUUGGCGAUCCCAGGAGCUCGAAAUCAUUGAAGUUGGUUGGCUGUGUGGAGGGCACGGAUACCAUCCUUGCCAUCACAGAUCUUGGUUCAUUCGCAAUUGAUCCCAAGUCCCUGAAGUUGAGAAAGCUGUCGGAUAAGAUUUGCAAGAAUGAGUUCGGAUUGGACCGAGUAUUUGAGAACCUCUUUCUCUACACGAGCUUCAACAAUCCACCAGCGGUGGCUGGUGUUGUGGGCGAAGCAAGCUCAAGUGAAGUAGGAGGUGCUGAUGCGGAAGUUUGA
rnacentral:rRNA from 1 species